CACAGACUAUUAUAAACAUGUGUACUAACAAUUAUUAUCACAUUAUGUUUGUUACACAUAAAACACAUUAAUAAAUAGUCAUAGCUGUAAUAUGGCUAGAAUACAACAAAUAUGGAAAUUUAAGAUAACAGCGCUAACAAAUAUUGAAUAUAAAAGAUUUAAUAUACAAAAUUUAAAGUUGUCAUGGUUUUUCUUUCAGAAUAUCUUAAACAUAAAUAGAAUUAGAUUAUUAAAUAUGAUUAACUUGUGGUAUUAGCUUUUCUUGGGAGGCCAUGACCUAGAUUUUAUAAAUCUUAUAUCCAUGGUUACCAAAUUGUAGAUUGCUUUGACCUUAGAAUUUCUUUUUUCCAUGGCAGUUAGAAUGUAUUUCUUUUUUCCAUGGCAGUUAGAAUGUAUUUCUUGCAACUACAUGGAAAGCAAUGAUUUUGUUUCAAAUGGAGGAAACUUUACAAUUAUCAAUGAUUUGAGUCUGGUAUAUCUAAAUAGAGAAUAUACAAAUUAUAUUUAAAUACCUCAAUAUAUGAACCAAUAUACAUUAUUUAUAGCACAUUUAUACUUAAUGUGUUGAUGGCAAUACCACAAUCUAUUGGAAAUUUGAUACAGUUUUAAAAAAUUUUAAAAGGUAAAUAAAAUGUAAUUGCUUCUAUUCACCAAAAGCUUAAUUCCAGGAAUAUUCCAACUGAUCUUUUGUCUAUUUUUUAACUAUAUAUAUAGCUAUGAAAGGCUGUUGAAAUAUUGCAACUAGACAAAUAAAAUAUCAAAGCAUAACCUAUUCACCAUAUUUUAGUAUAAUAUUAAAACAUCUGUGGUUAAAGUAAUUACUCUGUUCCAGUUCAUCUCUGUUUUACUGUUACAGUAACACAAUAAUGACACAUCCAGCACUGGCCCAGCAGAUUGUCAACAAAAUAAAGACAUAGUAAUAAUUUAUAUGACAAUGACAACAUUGUGAACAAUUACCAUAUCAGCUGGUUUUAACAAGAAUCACAUGACUUGUUACUCUGCAUCAUGGAGCAAGCUCACAAUUAAUUAUAAUUAAAUACAAUAGGGAAUCGUAUAUUUUACAAAGAAAAGGAAGUCUAUGAAUAAUGAAUCGGUUUGAGAAAUAUAUAAUGUGUUUUGAUGUUUGACAAUUCAAAGUUAAAUUAUGUAUAAAUAUCACCAUAGUUCAUGGUGUGAGUGCAAUGAAUUGAAAUAAAAAGUCUUUUGUUUACUGGUAUUCUGACAACGUAUUUAUUAGGAACAAUGAAGCUAUAAAUAUACAAUAAAAUAAUUGUGGAGAAAAUUUAUAAAUAUUAAUUACUUUUAUUAUCCUGUGGGAGAAAAUAAACUGAAUGCAUCGAAUGGUAAAAUAGAAUAAUUGAAAUAUCAUUCAAAAAAAUAUUAAGAUUAGUGGAGAAGAAUUUAUAUAAAAUUAAGAGAUACUAGUAGGAUUGCCAAUGAGACAACUUGUUACAAUAUUCAUCAGAUUUGAAAGCAUGUGCAUAUAAGCAAUUAUAGGUCAUUGUACGAUUCAUUCAUAAUCGUAAAAGUUAUCCUUUUACCUGAAGGACUUUUAUGCACUUUAUUUUUAUGACGAUUAUAGUUAUUUUAUAGUCUAAUAAAGUCAUUAAUGAUGAGGAGAAAUUUUCCAAUUGAAUGACUGACAUAAAAAAUUCUUAUUCAAAAUAUGUGUCAAAGUAAUAUAAGAAAUGUGUUUGCUAACAUGCAGUGUGUCUGUUUAGUUAUAUUAAGUAAACACCUAUAGUUGACCUUGCUAUUAUACCAAUGGGUCAAUGAGAAAGUAAAAAAAAAUAUUAAAUUCUGAAGAUAGUUAACUGAAAUCCCUUCACAGUUUAAUAAAAACAGUGUGGUCAUAUGAAUACCAAUUUGACAGUAAUCCACCAAAGACCAAAGACCAAAGACAAAGAUGUGAGCAUACAAAGGUCCUCUAAUGUUUGCUCAUAAAGAAUUAUAAAACAAAGAAACAAAGUUAAAGAAAAAUAAUAAACAUAGUAUGGUUAACAGACUAGAAUAUUAAACAUAUAUACAGCUAUAACAUAACAAAAUUUAUUAAUCAUCAUUAGAAUAUAAAAGUAUUAAAUAUAAGAAUGAAAUAAAAAUAAAUCAUGUAUAUAAAAAAUAGAAAGUGAUAUAAAUAAUGACUAAAAUGAAAAAUGAGUACACUCAGCAAACUUAACAUUAGAUAAUCAAAACAGAUGAGUGGCACCUUCGUAGCUUGACUAGGGUUACAAAUAUGUCAUUCUAUUAUAGGGAACAUUGUAGUCCCUUCGUAGCUUGACUAGGGUUACAAAUAUGUCAUUUUAUUAUAGGGAACAUUGUAGUCAAUGUGACUAUGUGUUUGUUAGCACUUCCAAUAUUAGGAAACAUAAAAAAAAACCAAAAAACUAGAUUUAAACUUAAACCUACAGGUAUGACAAAAGAAUGUAUGAAGAAAGAUGAAAACUUUAAUAUCUACUUUUAAAUUGAUGUUUCAUUACAAUUUCGAGUAUCUUUAAAUCUUCUAUAGAGUUCAUCUUUUUACCUCUUAUUAGCUACCUAGUAUAUUAUAUAAUACAUGCAGAAGUUACCAGCUAUUAAAACGUCCUUUACGACAUAUGGAAUAUAAACAGUUUAACACAUGGAAUGUCAAAAGUACUGGUCUUGGAUAUAUAUGUGUAUAAUAUUACUGGCUUUAUAUAUGUAUAUACUGACUAUAUAAGAAAGCACAUUACUAGCACUUUGGCUGUAAAAUUGGAUAAAUAUGAAUACAUGGCACUUCUAUACAACAUAAAUGGCUUUAAUGUAUCCAUGGCAACAAGUAAUGAUCAAUUUUAAUAAACCCAGAUUUCUAUAAACAUAAUUUAC
rnacentral:lncRNA from 1 species